rnacentral:sRNA from 1 species
AAGGUUCGACUCGAGCGAAGCGAGAGAACGUUGCCGCAGGCAAUGGCCCGAAGGCAAGGCGCUUUAGCGCCGAGUAAUCCUUCCCCCACCACUG